CUCUUGCCUGCCACCAUGUAAGAUGUGGCUUUGCUUCUCCUUGCCUUCUGCCAUGAUUGUGAGGCCUCUCCAGCCAUGUGAAACUAUACACCUUAAGGGAAUCAUCAGCUGAACAAAAGUAAGCCAGAAAGAGAAAGUAAAGCAUUGCUCUUGUUGCCCAGGCUGCAGUGGAAUGGUAUGAUCUCAGCUCACCACAACUUCCACCUCCUGAGUUCAAGCGAUUAUCCUGCCUCAGCCUCCCGAGUACCUGGGACUACAGUUCAGAAGAUGUUUUCAUAUAUGUUAUUUGUUCUCAUGCCUGUCUUGGAAUGACAGGAUACCAGGGAGAAGAACUACCAUGACCUACUGGGGACACUCCACCAAAAAAAGGAAGAAAGCCUCAGAUGGGCAUGAGGACAACUUUCUCAACACACUGCAUGCUCAAUUCUCAAGGUCAAAUUCUCUUUCUUCUGAGAAGACAAGAACUGAAGCUUCUGUAGACCUAUACGAAUACACUACUGGGAACUCAGGAUAAUUUGGAUACCUGGCACUGGUAACGAUAGGAUAAGAGUCUCACUUUAUCACCUGGCUGGAGUGCAGUGGCGUGAUCAUGGCUCACUGCAACCUCUGCCUUCCGGGUUCAAGCAAUUGUCACUGCCUCAAACUCCAGAGUAGCUGGGAUUAGUUGCCCGUCACCAUGCCCCACUAAUUUUUCUAUUUUUAAUAUAGACAGGGUUUCACCAUAUUGGCCAGGCUGGUCUUGAAUUCCUAACCUCAGGUGAUCCGCCUGCCUCAGCCUCCCAAAGUGCUAGGAUUACAGUUGUGGGCCACCACACCCAGCUUAAAAACAAAAUAUUUCAUUUGGUGUUUAGUCUUAAAACAUACCUUGAAGAAAAAUCAACAAAACUGGACCCUUGCAAAAGAGAUAAACUCUUCUACAGUGCUUGUUCUCCAGGCUGAACCUAGACAAAUUCUGAGCUGUUUGGACCUGACAGGCAAGAAGCACUGGGAACUGACUGUUCUCCAUGCCCUCCCCAGGAUGGCAGAAAGCUUAUAAUGUAUAAAAGCAAUCCCUGAUAAAUAUAGCUCUCUGUGAGAACGCUGACAAAUUCACUCCCUCAUUUAAUGAAAAGCUGCCAAGUGUGAUGAUAUUUCUAGGAAUGGUGCAAAUGAGCCACUGCAGGAAUAUAAAAAGAAAAGUCCAGGACAGACACUUUUCUAUUUAGAAACAGAAAGCAGCACAUUUGUAAGAGCUAUAGGACUGAUGAGCUUCUUUCAGAUAUGCACCCUUGUUUUUAGCAAAGAACUGAAAGUAUCAUUUCAAGAACAUCAAUCAAAUACAAUGCUUUAAAUUCAAGUGCUUAAAAAACACACAGAUCUUCCCUUGCUGAAGUUGAAGAAGCACUAUUCAUCUUGAGCUAUUAUGCUGAUCACAUAGGUGUAACAUGGCAACACUAUUUUUCAUUUAAACCCCCGAGGAAAUGGAAGCAUGCUCAUAAUAAAAGGGGAGAGAAGCAAGGAAUUUUAGGAGCACAAUUUAAUUCUUGUUAUAAACAAUAAACUGAAGUAGGAGACUGGAUGCAAUAACUCAUGUCAUAAAUAGUAUACCAGUGUUGUCUUUACUAAAAUUCAGAUUAAAAUAUCCAAAAAGAUUUUUAGUAGUCCAAUCAACCAUUUUGUGAUAUGGAUCAUUUAGCAGAGGUUAUGUAUCAGCUCAGUACCCACUAGGCCAAUAGAUUGCUUUUGUUCUGAUAGAUUCACAUGUAAGACUCACCCUAAAGGCUAGAUGAGAAAGGGCAGCAGCUGCCUUCUGGUUGCUUCAUCAUAGCUAAGGCAGAUAACCAUAGCUUGAAACUCUACCUGUUUUGCAAGUAUGUGUGGCUUUUAACAGGGAGAGCGGUCCAGAGAUGGGCCCACAAAUUCUCCAGUGUUAUUAGAAAAACAUUAUUGUGAAAUGAUCUUAUAUGACUAAUAAGAGUAUUUCAAUUUACCCAAUGUUAAGCUCUUUGAAAUGAAAGCCUCCGUGGAGUUUAUCUAAAACUGUUAUGAGUUUCAUAGAGUGAGGUAAGAAUUCUGUUUUCCAGAAAAUAAACACAAUAUGAACAAAUAGAGCAGCAGAAAUCACAACUCUAUCCUAAGUCAAACAAAAUAUCAUAUCAGUUCUCUAACUUACUGAGAGCAAGAGACCUCACAGGGGCCUAGAUUUAGAACGAUUUUCUUCAGUCUGACAGGAAUUGUUUUCCUAUUGGUAAUCACGUUUAGGGAAAAGUGCUGCUGGGUAGCUGAUCACAAGACUAAAUGGAUCAGGAUCAGAUAAAAAUUUCAAAAUGAUUUUUUCUCUCCUAUUUGAUCUUCUCUCUGAAAAUAUCUAACUUAAGAACAAAUAUAUUACAAAUGUGCUAUUUUUGAGGACAGAUAGAUAAGUAAUAAUCACAGGGUAAUAUCUGUUUGCUUCCAAACACACAAACACACAUACAGUGAAAUAAGGUUCUUAUUCCAUUUUUACUAUUUUUUCAACAAAUACAAGAUCAGAGUUAUGACAUUUCUCUUCUUUAUAAGACUCCUAGAAAUGUUUGUAUAUUUUCAACUUGCUAAAACAGAAAAUAAAUUCAUACUGCAUUUACCUUUUGAAAAAAACAAGCAAGAGUAUAGACUAGAGUAUAAUUUCAAAUUAUGAUUAUGCUGUCAAUAAGUAAAAAUUAUUAUAUAACACCUGAAAAGGUAGUGAUAGUAUUUGAGCUUAUACUUGGAAAAGAAAUCAAAAAUCAAAAAUAAAUUUAUGUGAGAAGUAACAUGAGAAACUCAAACAUUUAUAAAUAUGUGCAGUUGAAUGAGUUUUAUGAGUUGUCGUAAAUAAAACACUCCUUAAAAUUGUACAGUAUAUAUUUUAAAAGUAAUUUAUUUCAUGCAUUUAUUAUUUAUUUGUUGCAUUUUAAAACAUGUUUAAAAUGAAAAGUUGGCUAUAAAGUUUUCUGUUUGGUUAACUUGUAGAAGACUGAAUUUGUGUUAUAUAAGUAUUAGCAACCCAUUGUGUGUUGUAGUAUCAUACUGUGCCCAUGGUAUAAUCUGUUCUGUGGAACUCUGUUAGUCAAGAUAGCUGUGCAUAGUUAGAGGUGAGGGAUCCAAUUAGAAAAUCAGAGUAGUGCUUCCUUCUCUUCUUCCUUUUAGGUUGCUCUGUAGCAAUAACCAUUCCAGGGUGAGCUCCCACUUAUGGAGAAGGCCGGGUCAGCUUUGUUUUCUUAUUUAGAUGAGUUCUCCCUAUGUUGCCCAGUGAUCCUCCCAAAGCACGGGGAUUACAGACGUAAACCACCAUGCCUGGUCUAUUUUUUCUGUAAUUUAUCUAUGUUGUUGCAUAUAUCAGAUCCUUUUGGUGUAUUUGUUUCUUUUAAUUAUGGAAUAUAAUUGCAUUCUGUGACUGUAUUACAAUUUGUUCAUUCAUUCUCUUGUUGAUAAACAUAUGAAUACUUUCCAGUGUUUUGCUAUGAAUAGAGUGCAACAGUCAUUUUGUACCUUGUUUUGUGCUUUUAUACGUUUUGCAUAAAUACCAGAAGUAUAAUUGCUGAAUCAUAAGGUAAGUACACAUUUAAUUCUAUAAGAAACUGUAAAAUGGUUUUCCACAGAAGUUGUUUUAUAUGCUCCCACAAGCAACAUAUGAAAGUUGUUUAUAUAAUCCCACCAGUUAUUUUCCAUUCUCUCUAAUAUUUGAGUUAUUAGUCUUUUUACUGUUAGCAUGAGUAGUUAGCCCUAGAGUAUGACAGGGGAAAUGAGAUUUAUAGCACAAUCCAUUUGGUUUGGAUUUCAAUAGGAAAAGGAUGUUUUUAUUAGAAAAGGAGGGUAGGUGGUAAUGUAAUUACAUAUGAAGGUAAAUUUGUUUAUUUAGUGGUAGAAAUGAGAUAGUUCCUCUGGAUUGCAUUUGUUCUAUUAAUAAAAUAUUUCAUCAGCUAACUGAAAAAAAAAGAUGUGGUUUUGUUUGAGAAAGUUUGAAAGAGUCAUCUUGUAAAAUGAGAAAAUUCAUAUAUUAAGGAAAAAUGAAGUGUGUGGGAAUUGUGAGCAAUGAUUUCCAAAAAUUGAUUAUUUAAGAAAAAUGGCUGCAUCUUGUUAAAAAUUAUGCAGUUUGUUGUGUCUUCAUUACCCUAAUCCCCUCCAAAUGUCCCUGCCCAGCCCCAACAGACAACCUUGAAAACGAAUAGGCCCAAAGUGAGGAUGAAAACCAACACUCAAACAGCCACUGCAAUGUGCAGAGUAAAUUUAAUGCUCCUCCAAAAU